rnacentral:lncRNA from 1 species
UUCAUCUGGAUUGGAUAAAAUUGGAAUUGAAGCGAAAUUACAAGAACUCUGUUUGAAGAACUUGAAUGAUUUAUCGUCUUUCAAUUUGAUCAGGAUGGAUAAAGAAAAUAAUUUCAAGCCAACAGGUAACACUUUUCUAAAAAAAAAAUAAAUUUCAGAAGAGAUGUUGGGAUAAUGAACUAUGGAAGUUCACAGCUAUUAUAGUUCACAGCUAUACAGUGAACCUUUAAUACGAGUACUCAGAUGUUAUAGAGAGUAGAAUCUGAAGGAUUCUCUGCCUAGAAUUAUGUGAUUUGUUUUUCCGGCAAAUCAUGGAAGAUCAUUCUCUGAAUCCCUGAACACAACUUCUCUUUUAACGUCGCUGAACAUUUUGUUGCAGAUAGGAGAAAAUUAUAGAACAUUAUCAAAGGCUAAUGGGAUAUAACAAAAUCCAAUGAAGGAGAGGCUUUCUAAGUACCAGUUCUUCUAUACAGUCCUCCUGUAGGAGCGGUUGGCUUCUCAGCAGCUGCAGUUCACAGUCUGAUAUAUUAGCGUGAAUUAAUCUUCACUGAAGAAAACUAAAUGGUGCAUAUUUUUCUGCCUCUGAUGGGGUCAGUAAUAUCCAUCAGACAGCAUAUUGAGUCAGUG